rnacentral:rRNA from 1 species
UCUUGAAAUUUAAAGAAUUUGGCGGUUUUUUAGUCUAGUUAGAGGAACCUGUUUUAUAAAUGAUACUACACGCAUUAUCUUACUUGUUUUAGUAGUCCAGCUUGUAUACCGUCAUUAUAAGAUAAUUUAGUAUAAAAUAUUGUUAAAAUCAUAUUUUUGAGUAUAUUAGAUCAAGGUGCAGCUUAUGAAUAAGUAAAUAUGGGUUACAAUAAAAUUUAUUUAAUAUGAAUUAAAUAUUUAAAUAUAUUUAUGAAGGAGGAUUUAAUUGUAAGAAGAGAAAUAAUAAGAUUUUCUGAUAUAAGCUCUAAAUUAU